CAGUUACUAUGAUUUUGGUUG
rnacentral:siRNA from 1 species